CACGUAGGGGACGAGCGUUGUCCGGAUUCAUUGGGCGUAAAGCGCGCGUAGGCGGCUCGGAAAGUCGGUCGUGAAAUGCCGGGGCUCAACCCCGGGACUGCGUCCGAUACUCCCGAGCUGGAGGCAGGUAGGGGAGAUCGGAAUUCCUGGUGUAGCGGUGAAAUGCGCAGAUAUCAGGAGGAACACCGGUGGCGAAGGCGGAUCUCUGGGCCUUGCCUGACGCUGGAGGCGA
rnacentral:rRNA from 1 species